GUUGACCUCGGAUCAGGUAGGAAUACCCGCUGAACUUAAGCAUAUCAAUAAGCGGAGGAAAAGAAACCAACAGGGAUUGCCCCAGUAACGGCGAGUGAAGCGGCAACAGCUCAAAUUUGAAAUCUNGCCCCCNG
rnacentral:rRNA from 1 species